rnacentral:rRNA from 1 species
CCUACGGGUGGCAGCAGUGGGGAAUAUUGGACAAUGGGCGAAAGCCUGAUCCAGCCAUGCCGCGUGUGUGAAGAAGGCCUUCGGGUUGUAAAGCACUUUCAGUGGGGAAGAAAGCCUUGGGGCUAAUACCCUCGAGGAAGGACAUCACCCACAGAAGAAGCACCGGCUAACUCCGUGCCAGCAGCCGCGGUAAUACGGAGGGUGCGAGCGUUAAUCGGAAUUACUGGGCGUAAAGCGCGCGUAGGCGGUCUGAUAAGCCGGUUGUGAAAGCCCCGGGCUCAACCUGGGAACGGCAUCCGGAACUGUCAGGCUAGAGUGCAGGAGAGGAAGGUAGAAUUCCCGGUGUAGCGGUGAAAUGCGUAGAGAUCGGGAGGAAUACCAGUGGCGAAGGCGGCCUUCUGGACUGACACUGACGCUGAGGUGCGAAAGCGUGGGUAGCAAACAGGAUUAGAUACCCGGAGUC